rnacentral:lncRNA from 1 species
GGACACCACUCUAAACCAACUAAAUGAGAAUCAGAUAUCGUGAAGUCACUAAUCAUUUUGCUCCUGGGUCUUUAUGACAGUUUUGCUCCUGGGAAACUCUUGGGAAUGUGGUAGAGAGAGAGAAAGAGAUGGGAAAAUAAGAUUUUAAGAAGUGUUGCUAUGCAUUUUGAAAAUAAUUUUUAUUUGGUGUUUGUCUUGAGGGAAGGCGGUAAACAUUUCAAUUGCCUUUAAGUGUGCUUGGAUGCUGGAACGAUGGUUCUUUGAAUGCAGCGUCAAACUGGCAUUGGGUCACAUGGCAGCCAGCAUUAACCUUUAUGCCACAUUUAUAAAACAUGAAUGUCAUGAGCCCACUCUCAGAGACCUUAUAAUUUGGAGGGUUAGGUCAGAUCCACAAAUCUCUUCUAUCUCAUGGUAAAGGAAACCUGGCGUGUAGCAGGAGAUGGUGUGAUAACAAUAAUAUAUCGCAUGAUCAGUAUUUGUAUUCUUCUUAUCAAUAUUAAACUUUUUGACCUCCUCCAUUGUGUCAUCAAUUUGCUUAAUACAGUUUCUGCCUCAGCGUCUGUUUUUAGGCCUGGCAUAAGCUGUUUGAAACCCAGGCACAUACCCCACCCAUCAUCUUUGGCCUAGUUAACACCUCCCCUCCCUGCGUGGUGGUUUGGAGAACCUGCUUGUUCCUCAUCCCACUGAUCCCAAACCCAGGACACCCCACAGCUGCUGACCAGGAUUAAACCUAAGGGAGAUUUAAUGCCGUUAAAUCAGAAGAAAUUCUGAUUCUCAGGGACUGACAUUCAUUCACUUAAAUACUUGCAGAGUCGGCCAGGUGUGGUGGCUCACACCUGUAAUCCCAGCACUUUGGGCAGCCGAGGUGGGUGGAUCACGAGGUCAAGAUUUCGAGACCAGCCUGGCCAACAUGGUGAAACCCCGUCUGUACUAAAAAUACAAAAAUUAACUGGUAUAGCUGUGCGUGCCUGUAAUCCCAGCUACUCAGGAGGCUGAGGCAGGGGAUUUGCUUGAACCUGGGAGGUGGAGGUUGCAGUGAGCCAAGAUUAUCCCAUUGCACUCCAGCCUGGGCAGCAGAGCGAGACUCUGUCUCAAAAAACAAAAAACCCAAAAACUUGCAGAGUGAAUUUAGGAAACCAUGUAGUCUACAGUUUGAUGCAAUGUCUUCCUUUUCCUCUUUCUCAAAUAUUUUGAGCCAGGUACUAUCCUAGAUUGUCUUGUGAUAUUUACAAUCUAGGAGAAGGCAGGAGAGAGAACUAAGAACAGAGAGCAUGUUCUGAGAUGUCUGCUGUGUUUGCAGAAAUGAGGCUUCUCCCCAGGACCAGCAUUCCACGAAGGCAGCCCUUUUCUAGAUGGAGAAAACAGAACCUGAAGACACCCGUUUCCCUAAACUGCUCUCGCUCAUGUUUCUACAAGGCCUGGAGCUGAUAGGAAAAACCUCCCUUCUUUCCCAAAUGGUCCCCAGCUGCCCCGUUCACUGAAGGCCCUGCAGUCAGGAACGGUCAGGACUUCACACCCAGUUGUUGUGGGUGUUUGGCCGACACGACACUUCCUCUUGUGUGAUUCAUGGACCCGCAGCAUUGCGUCACCUGGGAGCUUUUGGUAUUGAAGACUCUCAGGGCUCACCCGGAAGGACCUGCUGGGCCAGAAUCUACAUUUUAACAAGAUGCCCAGAAACUCCUGGAGGGCAGAGGCAUGCCUGCCAUCUUCAUCAUUGCAUUACCACCACCCAACACUAUCGGGGGACCUGCCCUGAUAAUCAGUCUACAGGUGUAUCCAGCAGCUCCAGAGAGACAGCGACCAGCGAGAAGGGGCCAUGAUGAUGGUGGUGGUUUUGUCAAAACGAAAAGGGGGAUAUGUAGGGAAAAGAAAGAGAGAUCAGACUGUUACUGUGUCUACAUAGAAAGGGAAGCCAUAAGAGACUCCAUUUUGAAAAAGACCUGUACUUUAAACAAUUGCUUGCUGAGAUGUUGUUUAUCUGUAGCUUUGCCCCAGCCACUUUGCCCCAACCACUUUGACCCAAUCUGGAGCUCACAAAAACAUGUUUGUAUGAAAUCAAGGUUUAAGGCAUGUAGGGCUGUGCAGGACGUGCCUUGUUAACCAAAUAUUUGGAAGCAGUAUACUUGGUAAAAGUCAUCACCAUUCUCUCGUCUCAAUAAACCAGGGGCACAAUGCACUGUGGAAAGCCGCAGGGACCUCUGCCCUUGAAAGCUGGGUAUUGUCCAUGGUUUCUUCCCAUGUGAUAGUCUGAAAUAUGGCCUCAUGGGAUGAGAAAGACCUGACGGUCCCCCAGCUCGACACCCAUAAAGUGUCUGUGCUGAGGUGGAUUAGUCAAAGAGGAAAGCCUCUUGCAGUUGAGAUAGAGGAAGGCCGCUGUCUCAUGCUUGCCCCCUGGGAACUGAAUGUCUCGGUAUAAAACACUAUUGUACAUUUGUUCAAUUCUGACAUGGGAGAAAAACCACCCUAUGGUGGGAGGCGAGACAUGUUUACAGCAAUGCUGCCUUGUUAUUCUUUACUCCACUGAGAUGUCUGGGUGCAGAGAAACAUAAAUCUGGCUUACAUGCACGUCCAGUCAUAGUACCUUCCCUUGAACUUCAUUAUGUCAUAGAUUCUAUUGCUCACAUGUUUGUUGCUGACCUUCUCCUUAUUAUCACCUUGCCCUCCUACUACAUUCAUUUUUGCUGAAAUAAUGAAGAUAAUAAUCAAUAAAAACUGAGGGAACUCAGAGAACGGUGCCAGUGCAGGUCCUUGGUAUGCUAAGCGCCGGUCCCCUGGGCCCACUGUUGUUUCUCUAUACUUUGUCUCUGUGUCUGAUUUCUUUUCUGUCUCUCAUCCCACCCGACAAGAAAUACCCACAGGUGUGGAGGGGCA